rnacentral:rRNA from 1 species
AACUAACGCUGGCGGCGCGUCUUAAACAUGCAAGUCGAACGGUAAGGCCCUUCGGGGGUACACGAGUGGCGAACGGGUGAGUAACACGUAGGUAAUCUACCCUGGGAUGGGGGACAACUCCGGGAAACUGGAGCUAAUACCGCGGAUGUUGGUUAUUCCACGGAAUUUCCAAUUAAAGCCUUCGGGCGUCCCGGGAUGAGCCUGCGGCCCAUUAGCUUGAUGGUGAGGUAACGGCCCACCAUGGCGACAAUGGGUAGCCGGCCUGAGAGGGUGAUCGGCCACACUGGAACUGAGACACGGUCCAGACUCCUACGGGAGGCAGCAGUUAAGAAUCUUGCGCAAUGGGGGAAACCCUGACGCAGCGACGCCGCGUGCGGGAUGAAGGCCUUCGGGUUGUAAACCGCAGUAGACGGGGACGAAAACAAUGACGGUACCCGUUCAAAGCACCGGCUAACUACGUG